rnacentral:lncRNA from 1 species
UCCAACCAUCAACCUUCAACAGUGCCAACCGGACUUCAAUAGUGCCAUCCAGACUCCUCUAGCAGAUGAACUUCCACAAUGCCUUUCGAAUUUCGCUAUUAGUCAACCUUCUGUCGGAUUCCUCAUGCAACCGGACCUCUCCAGCGGAUAGUCUUCAGAUAAGCUUCUACAUCAGACAAAUUCCAGAUGGACUUCUCUAGCAAUCGAACUCAAACCAGAUUUCUCCAACAGAAAGUUUUCAUCCGGGCUUCUACAACAGAUGACUUCCGUCUGCAGCAUCAACGCUUAAGACACCUAACAACAGUUAACCCGUCAACAACCUUGAAAAUAUUCGAGCUUUUCUUAGAUUGCUGAGACAGAGAGCUAUUCUGCUCCACCAGACAUCCCAACCGAGCUUCAGCCAUCCGGCCUGAACUCCUCGAUAAGUCACGACAACGGACACCACUCCACUCUCUGUAACAAACUCCACGUGGCCCCACCACUCUCUGGCAAGUUGUGACAAUGGACACAACUCCACUUUCUGUAACAAACUCCAUGUGGCCCCACCACUC